AAAAAAAUUGUGUUUGUUUUUUUACAUUACAUUUCAUUGAUGAUCCCUCUCAAAGUAUAUCAAAACAACUCCUAUAGAUAAAUGGUGACUAGGUACCGGAGUCCUGGGGUAGGUCAGCUGAGUAUCGCUCAGCAUCUCCUUGGAGAUAGUCAGGCCCUCCUCCAGGAGAGAAUGCACCCCUUUACAGGUCCCCUCCAACAGAGACAGGACCACAGACCGCUGGGGGGAAAAUAGAGAGAGAGAGAGAGAGAGAGAGGGAAAAGAGAGAGAGAGAGAGAGAGAGAGAGNNNNNNNNNNNNNNNNNNNNNNNNNNNNNNNNNNNNNNNNNNNNNNNNNNNNNNNNNNNNNNNNNNNNNNNNNNNNNNNNNNNNNNNNNNNNNNNNNNNNNNNNNNNNNNNNNNNNNNNNNNNNNNNNNNNNNNNNGUUUAAUAUGACAUGUAGUCUAUUUAGAGUGUUUAUAUGCUGUUUAAUAUGACAUGUAGUCUAUUUAGAGUGUUUAAUAUGACAUGUAGUCUAUUCAGUGUUUAUAUGCUGUUUAAUAUGACAUGUAGUCUAUUUAGAGUGUUUAAUAUGACAUGUAGUCUAUUCAGAGUGUUUAAUAUGACAUGUAGUCUAUUCAGAGUGUUUAAUAUGACAUGUAGCCCAUUUCAAAUAAUGUGCUCUUCUUACAUUCACUGUUUAUUCAAAUACUUUUCAUUCAAAUCAUAUGGUUCGGAUUCAAUACUUCAAAACCAAAUGGUAGGUUCAGGUAGUCACAAAAAUAAAUGGAUGUUGCAUAAAUUGUGAUUUUAAUGAAUGGAGCAAAUUUGGAGCGGAAGUUGUUUUUUCUCUUCCUUUGAGCGAGGAGCGGUUUGGAAACGACUGGAGUGAGAUUUCCAACCACUAGGUUCACAUACUCUGAUUAGAGAGAGCGAGAGCUAAGUGGAACUGCCUGCUGGCCAGACUGUGAGUACGUCGGAGGGCGAGUGAGAGAGAGAGCAGCUGCCUGAUUGCUAGACUGUGAAUAUCUCGGAGGGCGAGAAAGAGAGGAGUGGAAAUGCCUGAUGGCCAGACUGUGCGAGUACCUCGGAGGACGAGAGAGAGAGAGCAGAGUGGAGCUGCCCCGAUGGCCUUGUUGAGCUGGAACAGUUUGGCUGCCGUGUUCUUCACUCUGUGCAGGUGUGACGGAUAAAGGUCCUCACCGUUCCUCUCCUUCAUCCCUCUCCUGUACACACACACACACACCUUACAGUUGAUGUUAUUGGAAAAUUGUGCCUUUCCAAGGGGAUACAAUAUAGUUUAUUGUCCAUUUAGGACUAAAUUCAUUUUAUGAAGCCACCAUACAAAUACACACAAAUAAAACACGCUUUUUAUGGCUUUGGGCAGGCUGCCUCGGUGCCUUUGGGCGGGCUGCCUCGGUGCCUUUGGGCGGGCUGCCUCGGUGCCUUUGGGCGGGCUGCCUCGGUGCCUUUGGGCGGGCUGCCUCGGUGCCUUUGGGCGGGCUGCCUCGGUCCAAACGUUAUUUUUAGACAUUAUCGGGAUAGAAAAACAAACAACUAAAACCACAUAUAUGCAUGUAGAAAAGAUCAAAUGGACCUAUAUUGUUUUGAGAACUAAAAAAAAAUCACAGAAUUAAGCGAUACAGUCUGGGAGAAUAUAAAUGGAAAAUUCCCAAAACAAUGAAUUUAGCUGUAUUUAUUUGUAUUAUGCUUGAGCAAAAUAACAGCAUUAGCCAUGGCAAAAUGCAUAGAACUGCAGGAAACUAGCUUUAAAACGGCAACAUUUUCUGUAUAAUUGCAGGAAUUAGGCUUCAAAAUGAAGAAAUUAAAAAAUAGAAUACAUCCACACUGCGAAGAUGAAGCCUCUAGUUUGUUUUAAUAAAUAGCCAACGCUCAUUGCCACGCUCCACGUCCCCUGCCACCUAGGACCCUUUUCAAUUCAAUCCAGAGAAACCUUGCACUUUAAACCAUUCAAAAAGGAAAACACCGGAAAAAGAUUAGAAUUAAGCGGUUUCCUCUGACAAACCCUAUUAAAGCCCUUCCUCCUUUCCUUACAAUACAGCGGUGUACAAACACGUGACUCCAAUCAAAUAGUUUCACUGCAACGACAUUAUAAAACAUAUGACAAUUUCAAGACUUGUGUCAUUGUCAUGAAAACAAAAAUGAAAACCACCCUCUCUCUCUCUCUCUCUCUACCAUCUCUGGAAAGAGGCCCACGGGGAUUCAACGUGUCUGGUUUUUGUCCGUCCGACCCCCUUUUGUUUGACGACAAUGGGGAGUCGGGAAGGGGAAUCUAGCCCAGCCGAUGAUCAACACUGACAAAGGCGAUAGUUUGUGCACAGCAGAUAACGGCAAACAAGCACGUUAAAAAAAGGUUCUGACGGACGGCAUUUCAUUCAACACAUCCAUUUACCUGAACGACUGGCCCAACGUGAGACCGUAGCGUUAAGGCUGACUAUAGCUUCUUAGUAGAGCUUUCCCUUUACCGAGCUGGCUGUAGGAGGGGCUACUAAUCUGAAGCAUUUAAACACGUGUGAAGAAAGACUGACAGGGCUGGCUGUAGGAGGGGCUACUAAUCUGAAAGUGUUUAAACACGUGUGAAGAAAGACUGACAGGGCUGGCUGUAGGAGGGGCUACUAAUCUGAAGAGUUUAAACACGUGUGAAGAAAGACUGACAGGGCUGGCUGUGGGAGGGGCUACUAAUCUGAAGCAUUUAAACACGUGUGAAGAAAGACUGACAGGGCUGGCUGUGGGAGGGGCUACUAAUCUGAAGAGUUUAAACACGUGUGAAGAAAGACUGACAGGGCUGGCUGUGGGAGGGGCUACUAAUCUGAAGAGUUUAAACACGUGUGAAGAAAGACUGACAGGGCUGGUUGGGUUUGUGUUGCUCAGUGCUCACCGUCAUGUGGCAGUGGAUGUAGCUCUGGAGAGGGCAGGACAGGUCGAGCAUCUUCGACUUGAGGCUCUGCAAAACCUGCCAGAAACACAGGCCAUAUGGUAUCUUGUUGGAAGACGAAUGGUUGAUAAGAGAAAAAUAGGAGGCGUUCUGAAGAAAUAAUAUUGUAAUGAUAUUCCAGAUUAUCUCCUAUGCAAGUCAUUAUUGCCAUUCAUGGCUUUGAAAAAAAAUUGUGUUUGUUUUUUUACAUUACAUUUCAUUGAUGAUCCCUCUCAAAGUAUAUCAAAACAACUCCUAUAGAUAAAUGGUGACUAGGUACCGGAGUCCUGGGGUAGGUCAGCUGAGUAUCGCUCAGCAUCUCCUUGGAGAUAGUCAGGCCCUCCUCCAGGAGAGAAUGCACCCCUUUACAGGUCCCCUCCAACAGAGACAGGACCACAGACCGCUGGGGGGAAAAUAGAGAGAGAGAGAGAGAGAGAGAGGGAAAAGAGAGAGAGAGAGAGAGAGAGAGAG
rnacentral:lncRNA from 13 species